CGCGGAGGUUUAACUUGACUCAACACGGGGAAUUUACCAGGUCCAGAAAUAGUUAGGAUUGACAGAUUGAAAGCUCUUUGUUGAUUCUAUGGGUGGUGGUGCAUGGCCGUUUUAGUUGGUGGAGUGAUUUGUGUGGUUAAUUCCGUUAASGAAGGAGACCUUAACYUGCUAAAUAGUUACUAUUAUGUAAAUAGGAGGAUAASUUGUUAGAGGGAYUUUGUGUGCAAGSASAAGGAAGUUUGAGGCAAUAACAGGUCUGUGAUGCCCUUAGAUGUCCUGGGCCGCAGGCGCGAUACASUGACAUAUGCAACAAGUUUUACUUUCCUGUCUAGGAAGAGUACGGGUAAUCUUGUAUAAUGUAUGUCGUGCUAGGGAUAGAUSUUUGGAAUUAUAGAUCUUGAACGAGGAAUUCCUAGUAAGCAU
rnacentral:rRNA from 1 species